UCUCCUACGGGACGCAGCAGUGGGGAAUAUUGCACAAUGGGGGAAACCCUGAUGCAGCGACGCCGCGUGGGCGAUGGAGCGCCUCGGCGCGUAAAGCCCUAUCAGCAGGGAAGAAGAUGACGGUACCUGACUAAGAAGCCCCGGCUAAAUACGUGCCAGCAGCCGCGGUAAUACGUAUGGGGCAAGCGUUAUCCGGAUUUACUGGGUGUAAAGGGAGCGUAGACGGUGCAGCAAGUCUGAUGUGAAAGGUCGGGGCCCAACCCCGGGACUGCAUUGGAAACUGUUGAACUGGAGUACAGGAGAGG
rnacentral:rRNA from 1 species